rnacentral:rRNA from 1 species
AUUGAACGCUGGCGGCAUGCCUUACACAUGCAAGUCGAACGGUAACGGGCCUUCGGGUGCCGACGAGUGGCGAACGGGUGAGUAAUACAUCGGAACGUGCCCGAUCGUGGGGGAUAACGAGGCGAAAGCUUUGCUAAUACCGCAUACGAUCUACGGAUGAAAGCAGGGGACCGCAAGGCCUUGCGCGGACGGAGCGGCCGAUGGCAGAUUAGGUAGGUGGUGGGAUAAAAGCUUACCAAGCCGACGAUCUGUAGCUGGUCUGAGAGGAUGAUCAGCCACACUGGGACUUAGACACGGCCCAGACUCCUACGGGAGGCAGCAGUGGGGAAUUUUGGACAAUGGGCGCAAGCCUGAUCCAGCCAUGCCGCGUGCAGGAUGAAGGCCUUCGGGUUGUAAACUGCUUUUGUACGGAACGAAAAGCCUUCUUUUAAUACAGGAGGGUCAUGACGGUACCGUAAGAAUAAGCACCGGCUAACUACGUG